ACGAACGCUGGCGGCAUGCCUAACACAUGCAAGUCGAACGAGACCUUCGGGUCUAGUGGCGCUCGGGUGCGUAACGCGUGGGAACCUGCCCUUAGGUUCGGAAUAACUCCCCGAAAGGGGUGCUAAUACCGGAUAAUGUCUUCGGACCAAAGAUUUAUCGCCUUUGGAUGGGCCCGCGUUGGAUUAGCUAGUUGGUAGGGUAAAAGCCUACCAAGGCGACGAUCCAUAGCUGGUCUGAGAGGAUGAUCAGCCACACUGGGACUGAGACACGGCCCAGACUCCUACGGGAGGCAGCAGUGGGGAAUAUUGGACAAUGGGCGAAAGCCUGAUCCAGCAAUGCCGCGUGAGUGAUGAAGGCCUUAGGGUUGUAAAGCUCUUUUACCCGGGAUGAUAAUGACAGUACCGGGAGAAUAAGCUCCGGCUAACUCCGUG
rnacentral:rRNA from 1 species